GAUGAACGCUAGCGGCAGGCCUAAUACAUGCAAGUCGAACGGGAUUGGGGAGCUUGCUCCCCAUGAGAGUGGCGCACGGGUGCGUAACGCGUGAGCAACCUGCCCGUCCCAGGGGGAUAGCCCGUUGAAAGACGGAUUAACACCGCAUGACGUAGUUAACUGGCAUCAGUAUACUACCAAAUAUUUAUAGGGGACGGAUGGGCUCGCGUGACAUUAGCUAGUUGGAGAGGAAACGGCUCACCAAGGCGACGAUGCCUAGGGGCUCUGAGAGGAGAAUCCCCACACUGGUACUGAGACACGGACCAGACUCCUACGGGAGGCAGCAGUAAGGAAUAUUGGUCAAUGGGCGGAAGCCUGAACCAGCCAUGCCGCGUGCAGGAAGACGGCCCUACGGGUUGUAAACUGCUUUUGUACGGGAAUAACCCCUAUUAUGUAUAAUAGGUUGAAUGUACCGUAAGAAUAAGGAUCGGCUAACUCCGUGCCAGCCGCCGCCGUAA
rnacentral:rRNA from 1 species